rnacentral:tRNA from 1 species
UCUCUGGUGGUCCAGGGGUUAAAAUUCUGUGCUUCCACUGCAGGGGGCAUGGGUUCAAUCCCUAUCCAAGGAA